rnacentral:rRNA from 1 species
AUUGAACGCUGGCGGCAUGCCUUACACAUGCAAGUCGAACGGCAGCACGGGAGCAAUCCUGGUGGCGAGUGGCGAACGGGUGAGUAAUAUAUCGGAACGUGCCCAGUCGUGGGGGAUAACGCAGCGAAAGCUGUGCUAAUACCGCAUACGAUCUACGGAUGAAAGCGGGGGAUCGCAAGACCUCGCGCGAUUGGAGCGGCCGAUAUCAGAUUAGCUAGUUGGUGGGGUAAAAGCCCACCAAGGCGACGAUCUGUAGCUGGUCUGAGAGGACGACCAGCCACACUGGAACUGAGACACGGUCCAGACUCCUACGGGAGGCAGCAGUGGGGAAUUUUGGACAAUGGGCGCAAGCCUGAUCCAGCAAUGCCGCGUGCAGGAUGAAGGCCUUCGGGUUGUAAACUGCUUUUGUACGGAACGAAACGGCGAGCUCUAAUAAAGUUUGCUAAUGACGGUACCGUAAGAAUAAGCACCGGCUAACUACGUG